rnacentral:rRNA from 1 species
UACAGAGGGGGCAAGCGUUGUUCGGAAUUACUGGGCGUAAAGGGCGCGUAGGCGGCCUGUUAAGUCGAACGUGAAAUCCCCGGGCUCAACCCGGGAACUGCGUCCGAUACUGGCAGGCUUGAAUCCGGGAGAGGGAUGCGGAAUUCCAGGUGUAGCGGUGAAAUGCGUAGAUAUCAGGAGGAACACCGGUGGCGAAGGCGGGUCUCUGGGCCGAUACUGACGCUGAGGAGCGAAAGCGUGGGGAGCAAACAGG